GUGUUUGUAGCUCAGUUGGAUAGAGCGGCCGCCUCCUAAGCGGCAGGUCGCAGGUUCGAUUCCUGUCAAGCACACCA
rnacentral:tRNA from 1 species